rnacentral:rRNA from 1 species
UACAGAGGUGGCAAGCGUUGUUCGGAAUUACUGGGCGUAAAGGGCGCGUAGGCGGUUCGGCAAGUCCUGUGUGAAAUCCCCCGGCUCAACUGGGGAACUGCACAGGAAACUAGCGGGCUUGAGUUCGGGAGAGGGAAGCGGAAUUCCGGGUGUAGCGGUGAAAUGCGUAGAUAUCCGGAGGAACACCGGUGGCGAAGGCGGCUUCCUGGACCGACACUGACGCUGAGGCGCGGAAGCUAGGGGAGCAAACGGG